rnacentral:rRNA from 1 species
CAGUCGCCGCGGGAAUACGAAGGGGGCUAGCGUUGCUCGGAAUUACUGGGCGUAAAGGGAGCGUAGGCGGACAUUUAGGUCAGGGGUGAAAUCCCGGGGCUCAACCUCGGAAUUGCCUUUGAUACUGGGUGUCUUGAGUAUGAGAGAGGUAUGUGGAACUCCGAGUGUAGAGGUGAAAUUCGUAGAUAUUCGGAAGAACACCAGUGGCGAAGGCGACAUACUGGCUCAUUACUGACGCUGAGGCUCGAAAGCGUGGGGAGCAAACAGGAUUAGAUACCCCUGUAGUCCCUGUCUCUUAUAC